rnacentral:misc_RNA from 1 species
CCAAGCUUCGCGACGCGCUCUCCUACAUCCGAACGUUUACGUAGACGUGGACGUUUACGUAAAC